UCUGAACCCUCUGCUGGCUCUCCAAGAUUAACGUGGACACAAAAGACGCUGGAAUAGCUGAUAACUUCCACUCCAUGGUUGGAUUGUUGCAGCAGCUGAACCUUUUGAUUCAAAAAAAUUCUAAAUAAAUAUUUGCAACUA